CCUACGGGAGGCAGCAGUAGGGAAUAUUGCUCAAUGGUGGAAACCCUGAAGCAGCAACGCCGCGUGGAGGAUGAAGGUUUUCGGAUUGUAAACUCCUUUUGUUAGAGAAGAUAAUGACGGUAUCUAACGAAUAAGCACCGGCUAACUCCGUGACAGCAGCCGCGGGAAUACGGAGGGUGCAAGCGUUACUCGGAAUCACUGGGCGUAAAGAGCGCGUAGGCGGGAUAGCAAGUCAGAUGUGAAAUCCUAUGGCUUAACCAUAGAACUGCAUUUGAAACUGUUAUUCUAGAGUAUGGGAGAGGUAGGUGGAAUUCGUGGUGUAGGGGUAAAAUCCGUAGAGAUCAAGAGGAAUACUCAUUGCGAAGGCGACAUGCUAGAACAUCACUGACGCUGAUGCGCGAAAGCGUGGGGAGCAAACAGGAUUAGAUACCCUUGUAGUC
rnacentral:rRNA from 1 species